CGUAGGGUCCAAGCGUUAUCCGGAAUCACUGGGCGUAAAGCGUGCGUAGGUGGCGCGUUAAGUGAGAUGUUAAAUCGUGUGGCUCAACCAUAUCGAUGCAUCUCAUACUGGCGUGCUAGAGGACAGCAGAGGCAAGUGGAAUUUGUAGUGUAGCAGUGAAAUGCGUAGAUAUUACAAGGAACACCAAUGGCGAAGGCAGCUUGCUGGGCUACUCCUGACACUGAGGUACGAAAGCGUGGGGAGCGAACAGGAUUAGAUACCCUGGUAGUCCACGCCGUAAACGAUGCAUACUAGUCUUAUGGGGUAUCGGCCCCCUGUGAGACGAAGCUAACGCGAUAAGUAUGCCGCCUGGGAAGUACGGCCGCAAGGCUA
rnacentral:rRNA from 1 species